GCCGUUGAGCCUCCAUUUCAGAGCUCAGCGGGCGCUGACCGUGGCCAUGAGACGGCUCGGUCCGCAGCGGGCUUCGGAGCCCUGCCAGGGCUUUCUGGGGGCUGUAGGUGUGUGCUGCCCUCGUCUCGGCCCCAAAGGGCAGUGGGUGGCUGCUGCGAGGCCCCGAGUUCGCUCAGUCCCAUCCCCCACGCGCACAGUGUGUUCCACGUGCAUCCCUGAGCACGUGGCGUCCUACGGCGGCAGCGUGGCACCACCGGCUCUGCAAAGGCUGUCAGCGGGAGCUGUGCGGUUACGAACUGCCCCGAGGCCGCUGGAUGCUGUUGCAUGGCUCCUCCAUAGGGCACGGUGCUGCUGCGUGGCAGGGAAACCACGCGAGCUGCCGCUUUGUGGGAGCAGCCAGCCGUGCUCACCGCCAAAAGGGCCUUUAAAGCAACGUUAUUUCUUCGUAGGGCUGUCUGGAAACCCCCAUCUCUAUGGGGGAGGGCAGCUGCAGCCCUGGGGAGAGGCCUUGGUGCUGCUCCUUCCCAUACGAUGGCAGCAGAGGGCUGCAGCUGCUUCGGUGCUCUUCUCCCAACGUGCUUUUCUGCUGCCGCGGUUGUGUGGGGUUUUUUGGGGGGGGAGGGUGUCGGUUUGAGGCUGUUUCUUUUCCUCUGGAACGUUAUUUGCAUCGUAAAGGUAGGAAAAGAGCUCUGAGAUCAGCCAGUGGGGCCACCAACCCCUCAGCUCAUCUCCAAGCUCCUUAAUGCUGGUCAUUCUCCAGCUGAGCAGCUCCGGGUUGUGAGAUAGAGAGCUGAAAUAGCACCAGGGCUGCAUUUGAGGGAUGCCCUACAUGUCCCUUUGCACCGAUGCUGCUUGGGGUGGGUAUGGAGUACCCUUCUGUGUCUUUCUACAGCCUGGCAAUGGCUUUAAGGGCUUCCUGAGCCCGAGGCCACAACCAAACCCCCAUAUAAUCCACACAGCAGAGGAGCUCACCCACGUAACUACUUAAUGACUGGCAUAAUUAACGGUAGCAACGGUGGCACCAGGCUUGGCAAUGAAGUGGUGUGGUGUGGUGAUGGCGUUAUCUCGUGUUUGGUUUACAUUGGUUGAGUGAGUCACGGUGUUGUUGGCUUUUCUUAUUAUUUUGGACUCUGUAAUCCCAGCCCGUGUUUGUAAGCUGCUCCGGGCUGACAGGAUGAAAGCUAAUAAGGGAAAGGUACAAUUGGGCUUUAUAAAGGGGGGUGAUGGCCCUGCUGGAGUCAGGGGGAGCUGCGAGGUGGAUGGGAGUUGAAGGAUGCUGUUAAAUGCCUUCAGCCACGGUGGGCAUGGACUGGAUCUUUGGCUCCAGCAAAACAGCGCAGUCCUCCAUCGUUCCACACUGAAGGCAAACACAGCAGAACCCUGUGAUAAUAUCAGUAUUGAAACACAUAACCAGGUGCAAAUCACCUGGCUAACCGGGGAUCCCUGAGCAGAAAAGCAUUGGUGCUUCAGGGUGAUGAUAGAAGCAUGCAAUUAGCAGGGGGUGGUUGGGUCCAUCCAGCCCUUCUGUGCAGUGUGUAAGGGUGAGGAGGGGAUGGAGGCCCUGUUUUGUACAAUCCCUUCAAUGCAUUCACAUAUCCCAGACCUCUGGAGCUGCUGAGAAGGUGAGCAGAAUAACGCAGUGUCCUGUUUUCAUGUUGUCUUGCUUACAGAACGCAGCGAUACGGAUGGGAUUUACGCAGAGAAAUUUAAAGAAACGAAGAGAAAAUGCAACCAAAUAGUGCCUUUCAGCCAGGGGUCUUGAAGUGCUGUGUGUGCCUUAAAGCACGGAGCUGCUCAAGGAGCCCUGCAGAGGAGGGAUGCCCUCACCCAACUGGAGCAGGAGGGCUCACAUGGGAGCAGCAUGGCAGCCCCGAGCUGAGUGUUCAGAUAGAGGAAAGGGGCUGAGAGAGGACGAGAUGCAGCGUUCAGCCCUAAACAGAUGGGAACCUGUCAGCACAACGUGGAGAUAAUCAUCCGUUCGAGCCAUGGGAAGCUUCGUGGCUGAGAGGAAGUUAUUGCAGCCAACACAGCUCUGCUUUAUCGUCUCACCAGCUUCCUUGGGCAGAGCAUAUUGGGGGGGUUUAAAGGAAGGUGAAUUCCCAAUGGAUUUUUUGGGGUUAUGCAAACAGCCGCCUUCUGAGAUGGGCACACGUGUGAUGCUCACCUAAGCAAGCAGUGCUUUUCCCCUUGGAAACACCCCCUGAGCAUCUCAGUGAAGGGAGCCCAAAGCUGGAGGUGGGAUUACUCCCAGGUGAGGGAUUUUUAGGGUGAUUUGCAUUUAUGGGGUCAUUUGGUGCUGGGGCAGAGAUCGGAGCACUAAACCCGACUCGAGGAAGUCAAACAGAACAGG